rnacentral:rRNA from 1 species
UACGUAGGGUGCAAGCGUUGUCCGGAAUUACUGGGCGUAAAGAGCUCGUAGGUGGUUUGUCGCGUUGUCCGUGAAAACUCACAGCUCAACUGUGGGCGUGCGGGCGAUACGGGCAGACUAGAGUUCGGUAGGGGAGACUGGAAUUCCUGGUGUAGCGGUGAAAUGCGCAGAUAUCAGGAGGAACACCGGUGGCGAAGGCGGGU